GUGACUUUUAUCGGUCCGGCCCUGUUAGCGCUGCGCUACUGUGUUACUGCCGUGUCUCAGCGAUUUUUACCGAAAGCGUGGCUCCAGCCCAUCUUGACGGCACCGACGAUGACGUUCUGCUUGAAGACGUCCGAGCCCAACUUCCUGUACAUCUGCUCGCAUUCUUCUAAGGGGAUCUGAAAAAUCCCCAGCAUGAAAGCCAGGAUGGCACCUAAAAUCCGAGAAAGAGGAGCUUGCCGAGUCAGGUUCUCCAGUUUGAGGAGAGUCUGCAGGGCCAGAAGUCCUCUGUGUAGAAACAGCAACCAAUC